rnacentral:rRNA from 1 species
GCAGUCGAGCGGGGAGAUGUAGCUUGCUACAUUUUCUAGCGGCGGACGGGUGAGUAAUGCUUAGGAAUCUGCCUAUUAGUGGGGGACAACAUUCCGAAAGGAAUGCUAAUACCGCAUACGCCCUACGGGGGAAAGCAGGGGAUCUUCGGACCUUGCGCUAAUAGAUGAGCCUAAGUCAGAUUAGCUAGUUGGUGGGGUAAAGGCCUACCAAGGCGACGAUCUGUAGCGGGUCUGAGAGGAUGAUCCGCCACACUGGGACUGAGACACGGCCCAGACUCCUACGGGAGGCAGCAGUGGGGAAUAUUGGACAAUGGGCGAAAGCCUGAUCCAGCCAUGCCGCGUGUGUGAAGAAGGCCUUUUGGUUGUAAAGCACUUUAAGCGAGGAGGAGGCUACCGAGAUUAAUACUCUUGGAUAGUGGACGUUACUCGCAGAAUAAGCACCGGCUAACUCUGUGCCAGCAGCCGCGGUAAUACAGAGGGUGCGAGCGUUAAUCGGAUUUACUGGGCGUAAAGCGUGCGUAGGCGGCUUUUUAAGUCGGAUGUGAAAUCCCUGAGCUUAACUUAGGAAUUGCAUUCGAUACUGGGAAGCUAGAGUAUGGGAGAGGAUGGUAGAAUUCCAGGUGUAGCGGUGAAAUGCGUAGAGAUCUGGAGGAAUACCGAUGGCGAAUGCAGCCAUCUGGCCUAAUACUGACGCUGAGGUACGAAGCAUGGGGAGCAAACAGGAUUAGAUACCCUGGUAGUCCAUGCCGUAACGAUGUCU